rnacentral:rRNA from 1 species
UACGUAGGGGGCGAGCGUUGUCCGGAAUCAUUGGGCGUAAAGAGCGUGUAGGCGGCCUGAUAAGUCGGCUGUGAAAGUCAAGGGCUCAACCCUUGAAUGCCGGCCGAUACUGUCAGGCUAGAGUCCGGAAGAGGCGAGUGGAAUUCCUGGUGUAGCGGUGAAAUGCGCAGAUAUCAGGAGGAACACCUAUGGCGAAGGCAGCUCGCUGGGACGGUACUGACGCUGAGACGCGAAAGCGUGGGGAGCGAACAGG